rnacentral:rRNA from 1 species
UAGGGAAUAUUGGGCAAUGGACGGAAGUCUGAACCAGCCAUGCCGCGUGCAGGAAGACGGCCCUCUGGGUUGUAAACUGCUUUUAUUCGGGAAUAAACCUGCCUACGAGUAAGUAGCUGAAUGUACCGAAGGAAUAAGGAUCGGCUAACUCCGUGCCAGCAGCCGCGGUAAUACGGAGGAUCCAAGCGUUAUCCGGAUUUAUUGGGCUUAGAGGGUGCGUAGGCGGCCUAUUAAGUCAGGGGUGAAAGACGGUAGCUCAACUAUCGCAGUGCCCUUGAUACUGAUGGGCUUGAAUGAACUCGAGGUAGGCGGAAUGUGACAAGUAGCGGUGAAAUGCAUAGAUAUGUCACAGAACCCCGAUUGCGAAGGCAGCUUACUAUGGUUUUAUUGACGCUGAGGCACGAAAGCGUGGGGAUCAAACA